rnacentral:snRNA from 1 species
AUGCUCGCUUUGGUAGCAUACAUACUAAAACUGGGGCACAGGGAAGACACAGGGAAGAUUAGGAUGGCCCCUGCACAAGGAUGACACACAAGUUCAUGAAGUGUUCCAUAUUUUU